rnacentral:rRNA from 1 species
UACGUAGGGGGCUAGCGUUGUCCGGAAUCAUUGGGCGUAAAGAGCGUGUAGGCGGCCCGGUAAGUCCGCUGUGAAAGUCGGGGGCUCAACCUUGGAAAGCCGGUGGAUACUGUGAGGCUAGAGUACGGAAGAGGCGAGUGGAAUUCCUGGUGUAGCGGUGGAAUGCGCAGAUAUCAGGAGGAACACCAAUAGCGAAGGCAGCUCGCUGGGACGUUACUGACACUGAGGCGCGAAAGCGUGGGGAGCGAACAGG